UCGUCUGCAGUGUGCGAUGAGAUAGAGGGAGAGCGCGUGUGGUUUGUGCUGAGAGAGAAAGGGAAUUUUAAUUUCUUUGCUUUUUAAUGAGAAUUUCAAAUUCUCUCAAAUUAAUAUAUUAAAAUACUUUAUAAAAAUGACAGCAUUUUAAUUACUUUUAAAAUACCCCAUCCAAACAUAUUAGAUUAUUGAAAGACAAUUUAAUAUCUCUGUUAAAAUACUUUACCUGAUUAAAUUUCCCCAUCCAAACACAUUAUAAGGGAUUUCAACAGAAUUAGGGGUAUGUGUGGGGUAACCUUCUCUCUGAAUCUCUUUUGAUCUCUUCCAGGGUACUCUUUUCCUUGUACCUUCCUAAAUUCCCUUUCUCCACCUUCUCAGGUAUCCUCUUUGCAAGGUUUUAGGAACAAUUGAAGACUGUAUAGAACAGAGCAAGACAUCACUCUUAGUUCCUGUUUUCAAUUUGAAUUUCUUCUCUAAG
rnacentral:lncRNA from 1 species